AGAGUUGCGCAUCGAUAUCCAGACAUACAAGAAGACUUCCUGGACCCACAUGACAAAAUGCUCAGGAGGAGAGGCAGGAUUUUUUUGAGACUAUGGAGGAUAGCUGGACCUUGGUCUGCCUGGGGGAUCUGGGGCCAUGGCCUUGUAUUCAAAGGAAAGGUGAAAAAUGAGGAAGUCUGGGAACCACUGAAGAAGGCAGCCGUGAGGGAAGGCAGUAAUCAUCAAAACGUAAGUUCUUUGAGAAUGUGUGCAUUGUUUAUUACAAGAUGUGUUUUCAUUUAAAUGUAGUAAUGUAUACUGUUGGUCAAACUUUGAAAUUAAUCUUAAAAUGUAAAUCAUUUCUGUGAUCAAAGCUGAAUUUUCAGCAUCAUUACUCCAGUUGUAAGUGUUCAAAAUCAUUGUAAUAUGCUGAUUUGCUGCUUAAGAAACAUUUCUGAUUAUUAUCGGUGUUGUUGAAAACAGUUGUGCUGCCUAAAUA